AACGUAGGAAGCGAGCGUUAUCCGGAUUUACUGGGCGUAAAGCGUGUGUAGGCGGUUUGAUAAGUUGGAUGUGAAAGCUCCCGGCUUAACUGGGAGAGGUCGUUCAAAACUAUCAGACUCGAGAGUGGUAGAGGGAGGUGGAAUUCCGGGUGUAGUGGUGAAAUGCGUAGAUAUCCGGAGGAACACCAGUGGCGAAAGCGGCCUCCUGGCCCAUUUCUGACGCUCAGACACGAAAGCUAAGGUAGCAAACGGG
rnacentral:rRNA from 2 species